rnacentral:rRNA from 1 species
CUUUUCUUGUUAGUUUUUGAAGUAUGGCCUGCCCACUGACUUGUUGUUGAAGGGCCGCGGUAUUUUGACCGUGCAAAGGUAGCAUAAUCAUUAGUUCUUUAAUUGUGAUCUGGUAUGAAUGGCUUGACGAGACAUAAGCUGUCUUAGGGGUAUUAUUUAUUGAAUUUGGUUUUUGAGUUAAAAUUCUUAGAUGUUUUUAUGGGACGAGAAAACCCUAUAGAGUUUGACAUUUUUCUUGCUGUAUUCGGGUUGUUUGUUAUUUAUUGUUUAGUAGGAUUAAGUGUUUUGUUGGGGUGAUGGGAGGAAUUUUUUAAACUCCUCUUUGAUUUUAUAUAUUUAUUUAUAUUAUUUUGAUCCAUUUAUUUUGAUUAUAAGAUUAAAUUACCUUAGGGAUAACAGCGUUAUCUUCCUUGAGAGUUCUUAUUGGCAGGGGGGUUUGCGACCUCGAUGUUGGAUUAAGGUGAAUUUUCGGUGCAGGAGCUGAAGUUGAUUAGGUCUGUUCGACCUUUAAAAUCUU